rnacentral:pre_miRNA from 1 species
AACAAUGAGCGAAUUAGUUGUAGGGCCUCUCUCCAGUGGCAGGAAAUAUAAAUGGUCAUGGGGCAUGGAUUUUCUGUUCUCUCGUGAGCUAUAACCUGCCAAAGGAGAGUUGCCCUUCGACUGCUUCUGCUUAGUU